rnacentral:lncRNA from 1 species
UCCAGCUCAUGGAAAGUAAAAAUGAAAAAAAGCUGCUAUGGAUGCCAUGUUCUGAGUGCAGGGAAAGCUGUGGGGACAAGUGUCACCGGGAUGAGCCCUGUGUGGACCGCUGCUUUAACCUGUGCUGUCAGUUCUGUCUGGACGGCUGCUGUCUCAUCUGCUCGGAUGACUGCCGCUACACUCUGUGUUUCAUGUGCACCAGGAUUGCCGACUCCUGCGCUGCCGUUCUGACCACCCAGCAGCCCAGGUCUACACAGAAACCAACAGAAGAAAAAACAAACAGGAGUGGAACUGAAGAAGAGAGGAAAAUUAAAGAAAAAAGAAGACUCUACACGUCAGAAGGCACUUGACAAAGGUACACUGAAUUAAAAUGGCAGUUCUCUGGUAAUUUGAGUAAUCUGAAACAUAUCCUGCAGCCUCGUCUUUGGGUAAAUUAUUUGAUUGGAACUGAAUUUUUGGUGUGAAAAGUUUGUUGUAAUAAAAGCGUCCUCCGUUCUGCUUCUUUAGGAGCUUUUAACUGUGAGUCUGUGAAAAUGAAACAGACAACGAGGAGGAAAUCAGUGCUUGUUUUGAAUGAUUUUGCUGCCAUUUCACCCUUGAGCUAUGCUAUAGAAGGGUUGAGCUUAGACACAUUCAUCUCACAACUAUGUCACUCGUUGCACCCAUUUAAGUCAUCAUCAUUUGCCAAAUGUAAAAAAAAAAAAGACACCGUCACUUUAUUAGCUAAUUGUCAUUGAAUAUUCAAAACAUUCCUACUUGUGCAUUCUCCAUGUCAACAGAGUUCAGAUAAAGCUUAUGUGAUCCAUAGAGAAUUGAUUUAUUUCCAUAUCAGUUAAUGGCAAUGAAAGGCUGUUGUCAGAUACUGGGAUAAAAUUACAAUCGAUUGAUUCUCUGCAUCCGUGAGUCACUGCGUAACUAUCACAUCCUCUCUCAGGCCUGAUCCAGGAGACUAGUCAUGGAGGAGGAUUACAGGAAACCACCACCGCUUUAUGAAGAAGUUAUUACCCAGCAGCACACGAGCAACACUAGUCAGAGCCGCUCCGCUGAUAACAGGCAGGGCUGCUGCUGCAGGUGCUGUAUUAGCACCAAGAACUGUCUGAUGAGUCCGGAGUGCGGUCGAGCUCUUAGCAUCGCCAAUGUGAUUGCCAUGUGUGGCAUGUGCAUUCGAAUGUUUGUCUGUAAGUACCCAGAAUGAGGCAUUUAUAUGUGUUUACACUACUUUUUAAAAGUUUGGGAAUAGUUUUAUUCAGCAAGGACACAAUAAAUUGAUCAAAAGUGACAGUAAAGACAUUUAAAAUGUUAGAAAAAAAUUAUUUUGAAUUCUUUUUUAUUCAUCAAAUAAUCUUGUAUCACAUAAUACACAUAAUCUUGUAUAAAAUGUAUCAGUUUCCAUACUGAUGAUGAUAAGAAAUGUUUCUUCAACAGCAAAUCAGCAGAUUAGAAUGAUUUCUGAAGGAUCAUGUGACUGAAUACUGGAGUCAUGAGAAAUGAUGAUGAAAAUUAAUCUUUUCCAUCACAGGAAUAAAUUAUGUUUGAAAAUAUAUUCAAAUAGAAAACAAUUGUGAUAAUAUUUCAUUAUAUUUUUGAUCAAAUAAAUUCAGUCUCGCUCAACAUAAAAUACUUAUUUCGAAAACAUCAAAUGAAUAAAUAAAUAAAUAAAAACAGACCCUCAAGCUUUUAAAUGGUAAAUAGGAGGCAAAACAGGCAGUGGCUCCUCAAAACAAAAUCUAAUAAUAAUAAUUAAGUCAAUAAUAUUGGAUGAGACAAAUUGGCCUGAAUCUAAAAAACUGGUACAAAUAGUAAUUACAAGGUAAAAAAAAAUAAAAAUAAUUUACUUAUCCUAAUCAAAUUGAACUUCAGAUGAAUUUAUCUGUUUAUACUUUAGAAAAACAAAUUUAAUUGUAAGUUAGCGAGCCAUCGGUCUGAAUAUAAGUUAUACUAAUAUACAAAUAAUAGCUGGAAAACUUGGUGAGACUUUGAAUAAGUAUAAAUAAAUUGUAUAUUUGUAUCCCAAGUGUAAGAUAAAAUAGUGUUCCAUGUGCCUAAAGUGUGUGUGGUUGUGUGUAAACAUGAUCAAAGUAGAACUGCAGCAUGAAUUUAUAUUAGACUAAAAUAAACAUUUCAAAAGUCAACUGCGUAUAUCUUGUUAACAUAGCAAACAUAUCAGCUCUGUGCUCUGCUGUUAUGGCUCUUAUAUUAUUAUAUUAGAGCUUCACUGUUAUUUCAGAUUAUGUGAAGGUGACUUGCUGUAAUUUGUCAUCCAUUUAUUGUUUUCCUUUCUUUUUCAGAAAACAGUCUCCUGUGGACCAUCUAUUCCAGUUCUCUCAACCAGUGGUGGCCUUCUCAAAUUAAAAGGGAAACAAAGACAUUUGCUCUGUUCCAAAACCUAGUGAUCUGCAACAUUUAUAAGCUCCCCUGCAAUACGAAUCCCAAUGCUGUUCCAAAAAGAAUGCAGCACUGCAUGUAUCAUUCAGCUAACUGACUAAAGUUUCACCUUUACGAUAUGUGUUUUCUUUUUGGAAGACAAUAGCAGACAAUAGAGUUAAACAGUUGUAUUACUAUUUUCUCUUUAAUCCAAGUCGCCUAUGUUUAUCUAGAGCUUCAUACAAUACUAAACAGGAAAGAAACAGAAUCAGUGACGCAAACCUCAUCAAAUAUAAUGGAAAGCAGCUCUAACAAGACAUUUCUAAAAUAGUUGCAGUCAUUUGGAAACGACAAUAAAUCUCUUUUUUUUUCAUAAAUUGGAGCCAGUCAUGUAAUUGGAUGUGGCAUCCCCCUUAAUUAUGUAUCAGGUUAGCCAAACUUUGCAUUUAUCAUUAACAUUUCUUCUAAAACUUCUUGUGUGAAAAUAUAAUUUAUAUUACAAAAUUAUGUUGUAAAUGAUGUGCACUAGACCGACAGGUCAAUAAAUCACAAUGCAAGAUUAUUUUCCCAAUUGUGGUGGAUUGUUUUCCUUUAAGACUGUAAAAUAUUAAACCUGUAGACUGAGAAUGUGUAAAUAUGUAUUUUCUCCACUGUGGAUAUAAAGCCUUCUGUCUUAUAGCCGGUAAGCAAACAAAUACCUUUACUUAAAUACAGCUGGAGUGUUUUACCUUCAGGAGUAAAUAUUUAUCCAGUUAAAAACUCUACACUUAAAUAUGUAAAAUAAUAAAGAUGUCUGACAUUUGCAAAUAAGGAUGAAUAUGGAGUCUUUAUUUUGUGUCAUUUUAAAUAGUAUUUACAUCAUAAUCAGAUGAUAAAUUGUCCCAGAGGAAAAAAAUAAGUGUUUUUAAUAGUUUUUUAAUCAUUAAGAGAGAAUAAUUUAUGAUGGCCAUUUGGGAUUAAGAUGACAUGGUUGCUGCAGUGAAAUAUUUUUUAUCUCCUAAUUAUACCCUGAAUAUUUGUUGUGUCAAGAAUCACAAGUCAAGCAUUUCUCCGGGGCUCAUAAUUAUUCAGGUUUUCUCUGGCUGUUCUCGCUCACUGGCCCAUUUUUCAAUGCCUGAGAAACAAUACAAGAUUUAAUCAGUCUGAAGGAUCCAAGUAGAGUGUUUUAGUCCAUGUUCAUAAUACUGGAGUCAGAAUCCAUCAGAGUAAUGAAGGGAAUCCAAUACCAUCAUCAAAACACACAAGCAGAUAUUCAGUGAACAAGGGAACAAAUCACAGAUACAAACCACUCCGAAUGAAAUACAUACGAGAGCCAUGAACAAAAAGAACAGAUUGUUUUAUAUAUGCUAAACAAAGCAAUGCACAUAUGGAGUGAACACAGUGCCUGUAUGGAUGUGAAACAGAACAUUUUAAACAUAUUGUUUUGAUUAUAGCCACAAUGAGGCAGAGCAACAUCUAUAAACUCAGAGAUUACCAUUUCUUAGCUUUAUACACUUGAGAUCAUCUAAGAAUAGACAAAAAAUAAUGAUAAAUUAAUUUUUUAUUGUUUUGGAUUUGUUAUUGUCCAUGUCAGAUAUCAGUUCUUUAAUGAAUUCUUUACUUUCACUCUCAGUAUGAGAUAUUUGAUUCUCUCUGUCCAGCAGAGGUGAAGUAGAAGGUGAUUCUUCUGCUGUUCUAAACAUAGUCAUGACCUGUCAAUCACUGCAACUAUUCCCAAUCAGGCAGUAUUGGGCAACACUUUGAGUUCUCUGGAAAAUGGAAGAAGUGCAUGCACAAUCUAUGAAUUUCAAUUGCCAAUAUAUUAUUUCUUAGUGCAACAGCCAGUGGUGGAUAUUGAUUUCAAGAUGAAGUCUCAGCAGAUCAAUGCAUAUGAAUGUGGUGUGACUAGGCUGGAUUGAUAUUCUUCUAUACAGUGGUACAUUCUUAAAGCCCUGGAUGACAUGUAAAACAACAACUCCUUGUGAUACAUUUACAAAAUGUGGCUGCACUUUAAUACUGUGCGCUCAAAAAGUAUUUGGACACUUAAAAUGUAUGAAUGCCAUUGAUUGGAAUCAGGAGAGCGACUAGACCUGCCAACAUUUUCUAUAGAGAUGUACUGUGACCCAGCUAAAUUAUUCCAUGUAAAUUAAGCUCUGAACCUUUUUAAAAUAUGGUGUAUUUGCUCAAAAUAGGCUUGUACAUUUGACAUUUUUAUUUAUUUGAAACAUUAUUCUCUAAUCAUUCACUAUUGUGCAUAACAUAUGUUCAUCUGGAGUUAAUAAAACAUGAAUUAAAAGUAUUUCUGCUUUAAUAUCUUAUAAUGGUGUAAAACAAAGGGAACAUCAGAGGCCUUAACAGGAAAGUUUUGAGCGCUUUUCACACAAAUUGGAAGUGGUUAAUGUGGUCACUGUCUUGUAUCAUAUAUUUAAUGAAUUUACCUAAUUAAAACAGUUCUUCUGGUAUGUGUGAUUUCUAAAACACUGCUACACAUCCUCAAGAAGAACGGAAUGCAUUAAAGGAGAGCUCACACAAAAUUGUCAUCAUU